rnacentral:rRNA from 1 species
UAGGGAAUCUUCCACAAUGGACGCAAGUCUGAUGGAGCAACGCCGCGUGAGUGAAGAAGGUUUUCGGAUCGUAAAGCUCUGUUGUUGGUGAAGAAGGAUAGAGGUAGUAACUGGCCAUUAUUUGACGGUAAUCAACCAGAAAGUCACGGCUAACUACGUGCCAGCAGCCGCGGUAAUACGUAGGUGGCAAGCGUUGUCCGGAUUUAUUGGGCGUAAAGCGAGCGCAGGCGGAAGAAUAAGUCUGAUGUGAAAGCCCUCGGCUUAACCGAGGAACUGCAUCGGAAACUGUUUUUCUUGAGUGCAGAAGAGGAGAGUGGAAUUCCAUGUGUAGCGGUGGAAUGCGUAGAUAUAUGGAAGAACACCAGUGGCGAAGGCGACUCUCUGGUCUGCAACUGACGCUGAGGCUCGAAAGCAUGGGUAGCGAACAGG